GAGGCACCAGUGGGGAAUAUUGGGCAAUGGAGGAAACUCUGACCCAGCGACGCCGCGUGAGGGAUGAAGGCCUUCGGGUUGUAAACCUCUUUCAGUAGGGAAGAAGCGAAAGUGACGGUACCUACAGAAGAAGCACCGGCUAACUAUGUGCCAGCAGCCGCGGUAAUACAUAGGGUGCAAGCGUUGUCCGGAAUUAUUGGGCGUAAAGAGCUCGUAGGUGGUUCGAUACGUCGGAUGUGAAAAUCAGGGGCUCAACCCCUGACCUGCAUCCGAUACGGUUGAGCUGGAGUUUGGUAGGGGAGACUGGAAUUCCUGGUGUAGCGGUGGAAUGCGCAGAUAUCAGGAGGAACACCGAUGGCGAAGGCAGGUCUCUGGGCCAAUACUGACACUGAGGAGCGAAAGCGUGGGGAGCGAACAGGAUUAGAUACCCCGGUAGUCCGG
rnacentral:rRNA from 1 species